CCUACGGGAGGCUGCAGUGAGGAAUAUUGGUCAAUGGGCGCGAGCCUGACCCAGCCAAGUAGCGUGAAGGAUGACUGCCCUACGGGUUGUAAACUUCUUUUAUAAAGGAAUAAAGUUAGGCACGUGUGCCUUUUUGUAUGUACUUUAUGAAUACGGAUCGGCUAACUCCGUGCCAGCAGCAGCUGUAAUACGGAGGAUCCGAGCGUUAUCCGGAUUUAUUGGGUUUAAAGGGAGCGUAGAUGGGUUGUUAAGUCAGUUGUGAAAGUUUGCGGCUCAACCGUAAAACUGCAAUUGAUACUGGCAGUCUUGAGUACAGGUGAGGUAGGCGGAAUUCGUGGGGUAGCGGUGAAAUGCUUAGAUAUCACGAAGAACUCCGAUUGCGAAGGCAGCUUACUAAACUGCCACUGACAUUGAUGCUCGAAAGUGUGGGUAUCAAACAGGAUUAGAUACCCGGGUAGUC
rnacentral:rRNA from 1 species